UAUGUACUCCGUCCGUCUCAAAAUUAUUGUCUUGGAUUUGUCUAGAUAUGAAUGUAUCUAGUCACAUUUUAGUAUCUAGAUGCAUCUAUAUCUAGAAAAUCUAAGACAAGAAUUUGGGACGGAGGGAGUACAAU
rnacentral:pre_miRNA from 1 species